rnacentral:rRNA from 1 species
AUUGAACGCUGGCGGAAUGCCUUACACAUGCAAGUCGAACGGCAGCACGGGAGCAAUCCUGGUGGCGAGUGGCGAACGGGUGAGUAAUACAUCGGAACGUGCCCAAUCGUGGGGGAUAACGUAGCGAAAGCUACGCUAAUACCGCAUACGAUCUACGGAUGAAAGCAGGGGACUCGCAAGAGCCUUGCGCGAAUGGAGCGGCCGAUGGCAGAUAGGUAGUUGGUGGGGUAAAGGCUCACCAAGCCUUCGAUCUGUAGCUGGUCUGAGAGGACGACCAGCCACACUGGGACUGAGACACGGCCCAGACUCCUACGGGAGGCGGCAGUGGGGAAUUUUGGACAAUGGGCGCAAGCCUGAUCCAGCCAUUCCGCGUGCAGGAUGAAGGCC